UCAGUAAGGUAGAGACAACAAUACAUCACACAAAGCAGCCACAACAGUCAGUAAGGUAGAGACAACAAUACAUCACACAAAGCAGCCACAACAGUCAGUAGAGACAACAAUACAUCACACAAAGCAGCCACAACAGUCAGUAAGGUAGAGACAACAAUACAUCACACAAAGCAGGCACAACAGUCAGUAAGGUAGAGACAACAAUACAUCACACAAAGCAGCCACAACAGUCAGUAAGGUAGAGACAACAAUACAUCACACAAAGCAGCCACAACAGUCAGUAGAGACAACAAUACAUCACACAAAGCAGCCACAACAGUCAGUAGAGACAACAAUACAUCACACAAAGCAGCCACAACAGUCAGUAAGGUAGAGACAACAAUACAUCACACAAAGCAGCCACAACAGUCAGUAAGGUAGAGACAACAAUACAUCACACAAAGCAGCCACAACAGUCAGUAAGGUAGAGACAACAAUACAUCACACAAAGCAGCCACAACAGUCAGUAAGGUAGAGACAACAAUACAUCACACAAAGCAGCCACAACAGUCAGUAAGGUAGAGACAACAAUACAUCACACAAAGCAGCCACAACAGUCAGUAAGGUAGAGACAACAAUACAUCACACAAAGCAGCCACAACAGUCAGUAGAGACAACAAUACAUCACACAAAGCAGCCACAACAGUCAGUAAGGUAGAGACAACAAUACAUCACACAAAGCAGCCACAACGAUCAGUAGAGACAACAAUACAUCACACAAAGCAGCCACAACAGUCAGUAGAGACAACAAUACAUUACACAAAGCAGCCACAACAGUCAGUAAGGUAGAGACAACAAUACAUCACACAAAGCAGGCACAACAGUCAGUAAGGUAGAGACAACAAUACAUCACACAAAGCAGCCACAACAGUCAGUAAGGUAGAGACAACAAUACAUCACACAAAGCAGCCACAACAGUCAGUAAGGUAGAGACAACAAUACAUCACACAAAGCAGCCACAACAGUCAGUAAGGUAGAGACAACAAUACAUCACACAAAGCAGCCACAACAGUCAGUAAGGUAGAGACAACAAUACAUCACACAAAGCAGCCACAACAGUCAGUAAGGUAGAGACAACAAUACAUCACACAAAGCAGCCACAACAGUCAGUAAGGUAGAGACAACAAUACAUCACACAAAGCAGCCACAACAGUCAGUAAGGUAGAGACAACAAUACAUCACACAAAGCAGCCACAACAGUCAGUAAGGUAGAGACAACAAUACAUCACACAAAGCAGCCACAACAGUCAGUAAGGUAGAGACAACAAUACAUCACACAAAGCAGCCACAACAGUCAGUAAGGUAGAGACAACAAUACAUCACACAAAGCAGCCACAACAGUCAGUAGAGACAACAAUACAUCACACAAAGCAGCCACAACAGUCAGUAAGGUAGAGACAACAAUACAUCACACAAAGCAGCCACAACAGUCAGUAAGGUAGAGACAACAAUACAUCACACAAAGCAGCCACAACAGUCAGUAAGGUAGAGACAACAAUACAUCACACAAAGCAGCCACAACAGUCAGUAAGGUAGAGACAACAAUACAUCACACAAAGCAGCCACAACAGUCAGUAAGGUAGAGACAACAAUACAUCACACAAAGCAGCCACAACAGUCAGUAGAGACAACAAUACAUCACACAAAGCAGCCACAACAGUCAGUAAGGUAGAGACAACAAUACAUCACACAAAGCAGCCACAACAGUCAGUAAGGUAGAGACAACAAUACAUCACACAAAGCAGCCACAACAGUCAGUAAGGUAGAGACAACAAUACAUCACACAAAGCAGCCACAACAGUCAGUAGAGACAACAAUACAUCACACAAAGCAGCCACAACAGUCAGUAGAGACAACAAUACAUCACACAAAGCAGCCACAACAGUCAGUAAGGUAGAGACAACAAUACAUCACACAAAGCAGCCACAACAGUCAGUAAGGUAGAGACAACAAUACAUCACACAAAGCAGCCACAACAGUCAGUAAGGUAGAGACAACAAUACAUCACACAAAGCAGCCACAACAGUCAGUAAGGUAGAGACAACAAUACAUCACACAAAGCAGCCACAACAGUCAGUAAGGUAGAGACAACAAUACAUCACACAAAGCAGCCACAACAGUCAGUAAGGUAGAGACAACAAUACAUCACACAAAGCAGCCACAACAGUCAGUAGAGACAACAAUACAUCACACAAAGCAGCCACAACAGUCAGUAAGGUAGAGACAACAAUACAUCACACAAAGCAGCCACAACAGUCAGUAAGGUAGAGACAACAAUACAUUACACAAAGCAGCCA